rnacentral:rRNA from 1 species
UUAAAUGAGGAAAGGCUUACGGUGGAUACCUAGGCACCUAGAGACGAGGACGAGCGUAGUAAGCGAUGAAAUGCUUUGGGGAGUUGAAAAUAAGCGUAGAUCCAGAGAUUCCCGAAUAGGUUAACCUUUCGAACUGCUGCUUAAUCCAUGGGCAGGCAAGAGACAACCUGGCGAACUGAAACAUCUUAGUAGCCAGAGGAAAAGAAAGCAAAAGCGAUUCCCAUAGUAGCAGCGAGAGAAAUGGGAGCAGCCUAAACCAUGAAAAACGGGAUUGUGGGAGAGCAAGACAAGCGUCGUGUUGCUAGGCGAAGCGGUGGAGUGUUGCACCCUAGAUGGCGAGAGUCCAGUAGUCAAAAGCAUCACUAGCUUAUGCUCUGACCCGAGUAGCAUGGGAUACGUGGAAUCCCAUGUGAAUCAGCAAGGACAACCUUGCAAGGCUAAAUACUCCUGGGUGAACGAUAGUGAAGUAGUACCGUGAGGGAAGGGUGAAAAGAACCCCCAUCGGGGAGUGAAAUAGAACAUGAAAACAUAAGCUCCCAAGCAGUGGGAGGAGCCCUGGGCUCUGACCGCAUGCUUUUUGAAGAAUGAGCCGGCGACUCAUAGGCAGUGGCUUGGUUAAGGGAACCCACCGGAGCAGUAGCGAAAGUGAGUCUUCAUAGGGAAAUUGUCACUGCUUAUGGACCUGAACCUUGGUGAUCUAUCCAUGACCAGGAUAAAGCUUGGGUGAAACUAAGUGGAGGUCUAAACCGACUGAUGUUGAAGAAUCAGCGGAUGAGUUGUGGUUAGGGGUGAAAUGUCACUCAAAUCCAGAGUUAGCUGGUUCUCCCCGAAAUGCGUUGAGGCGUAGCAGUUGACUAGACAUUUAGGGGUAAAGCACUGUUUUGGUGUGGGCUGCGAGAGCGGUACCAAAUCGAGGCAAACUCUGAAUACUAGAUAUGACCUCAAAAUAAUAGGGGUCAAGGUCGGCCAGUAAGCCGGUGGGGUAUAAGUUUCAUCGUCGAGAGGGAAACAGCCCGGAUCACCAGGUAAGGCCCCUAAAUGACUGCUCAAUGAUAGAAGAGGUAGGGGUGCAGAGACAGCCAGAAGGUUUGCCUAGAAGUAGCCACCCUUAAAGAGUGCAUAAUAGCUCACUGAUCGAGCUGUGGGAUGUAAAAAUGCAUCGGCAGGGGAGCGUUCCGCCUAGAGGGAAGCAACUGUGCAAGCGGUGGUGGACGAAGCGGAAGCGAGAAUGUCGGCUUGAGUAACGCAAACAUUGGUGAGAAUCCAAUGCCCCGAAAACCUCCGCAAGGUUCAUCCAUGGAGGGUGAUUCAUGGCUUAAGAUCAGGCCGAAAGGCGUAGUCGAUGGACAACAGGUGAAUAUUCCUGUACUACCCCUUGUUGGUCCCAAAAGACGGAGGAGGCUAGGUUAGCCGAAAGAUGGUUAUCGGCUCAAGGACAUGAGGUGCCCCUAAUUUUUCAAGGUAAGAAAGGGUAGAGAAAAUUCCAUGAGCCAAUGUUCAAGUACCAGGCGCCACAGCGCUGAAGUAACCCAUGCUAUACUCCCAGGAAAAGCUCGAAUGACCUUCAACAAAAGGGUACCUGUACCCAAAACUGACACAGGUGGGUAGGUAGAGAAUACCUAGGGGUACGAGACAACUCUCUCGGAGGAACUCGACAAAAUAGCCCUGUAACUUUGGGAGAGGGGGUGCCUCCUCACAAAUGAGGUCGCAGUGACCAGGCUCCGGCGACUGUUUACCAAAAACAUAGGUCUCUGCAAAGUCGUAAGACCAUAUAUGGAGGCUGACACCUGCCCAGUGUCGGAAGGUCAAGGAAGUUGGUGACCUAAUGACAGGGGAGCCGGUGACCGAAGCCCCAGUGAACGGCGACCGUAACAAUAACGGUCCUAAGGUAGCGAAAUUCCUUGUCGGGUAAGUUCUGACCCGCAUGAAAGGUGUAACGAUCUAGGCACUAUCUCAGAGAGAGGCUCAGUGAAAUAGAUAUAGCUGUGAAGAUGCGGACUACCUGCCCCUGGACAGAAAGACCCUAUGAAGCUUCACUAUUCCCUGGGAUUGGCUUUGGGCCUUUUCUGCGCAGCUUAGGUGGAAAGCAAAGAAGGCACCCUU